rnacentral:rRNA from 1 species
UAGGGAAUCUUCGGCAAUGGGGGGAACCCUGACCGAGCAACGCCGCGUGAGUGAAGAAGGUUUUCGGAUCGUAAAGCUCUGUUGUUAAGGAAGAACGAGUGUGAGAAUGGAAAGUUCAUACUGUGACGGUACUUAACCAGAAAGGGACGGCUAACUACGUGCCAGCAGCCGCGGUAAUACGUAGGUCCCGAGCGUUGUCCGGAUUUAUUGGGCGUAAAGCGAGCGCAGGCGGUUAGAUAAGUCUGAAGUUAAAGGCAGUGGCUCAACCAUUGUAGGCUUUGGAAACUGUUUAACUUGAGUGCAGAAGGGGAGAGUGGAAUUCCAUGUGUAGCGGUGAAAUGCGUAGAUAUAUGGAGGAACACCGGUGGCGAAAGCGGCUCUCUGGUCUGUAACUGACGCUGAGGCUCGAAAGCGUGGGGAGCGAACAGGAUUAGAUACCCUGAUAGUCCACGCCGUAAACGAUGAGUGCUAGGUGUUAGGUCCUUUCCGGGACUUAGUGCCGCAGCUAACGCAUUAAGCACUCCGCCUGGGGAGUACGACCCGCAAGGUUG